UGUUAAAAAUUUCAUCCAUUUAUGCUGUUAAAAACUAGCAUUGUUGACAGAACAACUAGACGGUAAUAAAUGGCAUGCCAUGUGUACAUUAUGCUAACGUAUAAGGAUCAGUUUUUAACGGUAGAAAUGGAUGAAAUUUUUAACA
rfam:Gossypium hirsutum cultivar TM-1 chromosome 23, whole genome shotgun sequence